rnacentral:lncRNA from 1 species
CCGGCGUCCCCGGGGGACCCCCGCGCCCCACGGAGCUGCCCCCGGGGAAGCGGCGGCUGCACCUGGCGGAGCCGACAGCAGGGAACAAAAACUUGGGGGUUUAUUUCUUUUUUUUUUUUUUCCCCCUCGUUUAGGUUCCGUAUCGGAGCAGGCUGGAAGGCUGCCGUAUACUCAGGCGUGUAAGAAGAUUAUGUCAGCAGCGGGCAGAGGACUACUGGAAGGAAAGUCCAGGAAAUCACUACUCAGAAAUAUACAUGCCAGAGUACUAAAGGCAUAGGCCUACUUCUACUCCUGUUGAAAUAAAGAGCCUCGUCCCACUGACUUCGGAGGGAGA